rnacentral:rRNA from 1 species
AGCCCGCACAAGCAGUGGAGUAUGUGGUUUAAUUCGAAGCAACGCGAAGAACCUUACCAGAGCUUGACAUCCACAGGAGGGUCCUUAAUGGGACCUGUGCCCUUCGGGAACGUGUGAGACAGGUGGUGCAUGGUUGUCGUCAGCUCGUGUCGUGAGAUGUUGGGUUAAGUCCCGCAACGAGCGCAACCCUUAUGAUUAGUUGCUACGCAAGAGCACUCUAAUCAGACUGCCGUUGACAAAACGGAGGAAGGUGGGACGACGUCAAAUCAUCAUGCCCCUUACGCCCUGGGCUACACACGUACUACAAUGGCGCAAACAGAGGGGAGCAAGUGCGCGAGCAGGAGCAAAUCCUAAAAAUGCGUCCCAGUUCAGAUUGCAGGCUGCAACUCGCCUGCAUGAAGUUGGAAUUGCUAGUAAUCGCGGAUCAGAAUGUCGCGGUGAAUACGUUCCCGGGCUUU